rnacentral:lncRNA from 1 species
CCAGCUAAUCAGGAGGCUGAGGCAGGAGAAUCGCUUGAAUCCAACAGGCGGAGGUUACAGUGAGCCAAGAUCCCACCACUGCACUCCAGCCUGGGUGACAGAGCAAGAGUCCAUCUCAAAAAAAAUAAAAAUAAAAAACAAAACAAAAAACAACAAAAAAAAACAAAGGCAGAAAAUGAAAUAAGGUGUGCAAGAGUAAAUUUGAAAUAUUUGUUUACUAAGUAACAAAGUCAGAACUAUGGAACAUUAAAAUCAGGAGAUUCUAGAAACCAUGCAAUUCAACCCCUUAACAGGUAAGAAAACUGAGGUCCUGAGCAGUUAGAUUAGGCUGCAUAGUUAGUUCUGCAAGGUCUGGAAUCCACGUCCUGGAAUCCUCCCAGUGCCCUUUCAGUGCAUCAGCUGACCUCGAAAUAAUUUAACAGAAGCAGUUAAGAAUUAACUUUCCUCAAAAUGCUUAUUAAGCAAAAGUAAUCUACAUUGAGGUAGAUGAGUAAAGAAUAAGGACAGGUUAGGGUAGAAGAAAUGAGGAAAAAAGGAAACACCAGAAUGGUCCAUAUUCAUGCCUAAACCCUCCCUAAUCCUAAUAGGGAUUUCUCCACCGAUGGUAACUUGCAACUUGAGGGGGGCCAUGUGGCAUAAAGAGUUGUAAACCACUAUUUCCGCUUACCCUGUCCAUUAUAUUUAGACAAGAGGAAAGUGAUGCCAGAGAAAAGAUCCAAGAGGACCUGUCUGUCUCUAAACCUUGGACAAUCAUUUUUCUGAAAUUUGUUGAGUUGGAGUAGAUCUGAGAACCGUUCCAGGUAAAGGAAUUUGUACCCAAAGGAGACAGCCAGCUAUCAGCAAGAUUUUCUUACCUUUAAAAUGGGAAGAUCUUUGAAGGCAGAAAACACCUUUCUACACUAAUUUUUCCCUUCUCAAGUACAACCCAGACAUUUGACUAAUACUACUAGCAUAAUAAGA